UGUGAACAAAAGUGCUUGAAAUUUGAGAUACUAAGAAAUAUAACAUUUUAAUGAUUGUUAGGUUAGGUAUGAUGUUCGAAGAAAGUGUGAUAAUAUAGAAUAAUGAUUAUGAAAAGAAAAGUCAAAUAGAGUAGAUAGAAAUUUAUUCUUCCAACUACAUCCAUUUCGAUACAGUCUUACAUGUGACUCUUGUCAUUCUUUUUCUUUUUCUUUUAUUUUUCCAACUACAUCAAUGUUGAUACAAUCUUACAUGUCACUCUCUGUUAUUCUUUUUCUGUGUCUCUCAUUUUUAUUUAUUUGUUGCUAUGUUCGUCAUAUAACAUCUAUUAUCCAUGUUGUUGUGUAGCAUAUAAUAUAAAAGUCUAAUAUAAUAUCUUAAUUCAAGUAUUAAAAAUGAGGAUACAUGGAAUGGUGAAUUAGAGUUUGAGAGUGUUGUAUAUAAUAAUACUAUUCAUGAUAAAAGUAAAAAGUAAAUGUACUCUUGUCCUUUCUUUUUCUUUGUCACUCACUUAUCUUAUUCAAUUUCUACUACUCUAAGUGCAUUUUCUUUUCAUUGUCACUCCCCACUCUCUAUCAUUAUUCUCUCUUAUCACACUUUCUUCCAACAUCAUACCUAACCUAAUAAUCAUUCAAAUUUUGUAUUUCUCACAACCAUCUCAAAUUCCAACGACUUUCGUUCACAAUUUUCAAAUCAUUAAUAAAAUAAUUUUUUAUUCAGUUUUUAUAUUUUAAAAUAUUACUUAAAUAUUUAUAUUUUAAAUUUUAUAAAUGUUAAUUUUUUAAUAAUUUUUUCUUAUUUAUAUAUUUUUCUAAAUAAUUAUAAAUUUAGAAGUUAGACAAAACUAGUAUGAAAAUAAAAGGCGUUAACUUUGAUACGAGCACAUUAUAGAAAGCACAAGAAAUAAAGCAGAAGAGAUAAUAACAAUGUGUUUUAUAUUAGGUGAAUGUCAAUAACCUAAUAUUCGGGUUUGUCAAGUUUGAAGGUGUGGUGAAUGCAUACGAAUUUGAGAAGAAGUUAUGGUACGGGUGAACAUACCUAAAUAUAGUAGAAAUGGCAUUUCAAAGGUGGAGUGGAACGUUAAAGAUAAUUGAGGUGGAUGAAGCAACGCUAAAAAUAAAUGAAUUGGAGUAUGCAAGGGUUCUUAUAUUAAAUUGCCACUAACAAGGAGGUUAGAUGAGUCAACAACAUGAGAGUAUUAAUAUCUGUC
rnacentral:lncRNA from 1 species